UACGUAGGGGCCUAGCGUUGUCCGGAUUUAUUGGGCGUAAAGAGCUCGUAGGCGGUUUGGUGAGUCGGGUGUGAAAUCUCCACGCUCAACGUGGAGGGGCCACCCGAUACUGCCAUGACUAGAGUCCGGUAGGGGAGUGUGGAAUUCCCGGUGUAGCGGUGAAAUGCGCAGAUAUCGGGAGGAACACCAGUAGCGAAGGCGGUUCUCUGGGCAUGUCCUGACGCUGAGGAGCGAAAGUGUGGGGAGCGAACAGG
rnacentral:rRNA from 1 species